rnacentral:lncRNA from 1 species
GGCUUUGAAAGAAGAGGAGGAGAGAUGGAAACUAACAAGCUCACUCUGUCUUGCCUUAUGGCCUCUCACGCUGCUUCAGUGCUCUCCAUGGGCUUGAAGGCCCUCACUGGCUGCAGCCCCUGGAUCUCAGGCCUGUGGAACUGCAAACGAGAGCAUAUUUUGGAACCCAGAGGACUCCUGGUUGAAGUCAUUUGGUUUUUCUACACUCGAAUCACACCUAUUGACACUCAGAUGAGAAUGAAGUCCUCUGCCCAGAGUGUUUAUGUGGCUCCUGUGUCGUCCAAGUGAAGUCGGACUGCACUGAGCCAUCACAGAAGACAGUCCUGCGUGCACACUCAGGAGGGCUGCCGAGCAUCUGUGUGGGGCAGCAUUCCACCAUGGGGAUGCUGGCAUGCUUCUGUUAUGAGCACUCUGCUGUAGGGACCUGCUGUAUUUGUCACACUGCAGCAGGAAAGGGGCAGCACAGGGUGAGAUUAGAUUUCUGAGCCAGUGGUGUUAGCUCUAGAGACGGAGAUGGGAC